rnacentral:rRNA from 1 species
GGAGUUAGCCGGUGCUUCUUCUGUGAGUGAUGUCCUUCCUGCCGGCUAUUAACCCGCAGGCCUUCUUCCUCACUGAAAGUGCUUUACAACCCGAAGGCCUUCUUCACAAACGCGGCAUGGCUGGAUCAGGGUUGCCCCCAUUGUCCAAUAUUCCCCACUGCUGCCUCCCGUAGGAGUCUGGGCCGUGUCUCAGUCCCAGUGUGGCUGAUCAUCCUCUCAGACCAGCUACGGAUCGUCGCCUUGGUGAGCCGUUACCUCACCAACCAGCUAAUCCGACAUAGGCUCAUCCGAUAGCGCGAGGCCCGAAGGUCCCCCGNUUUCCCCCGUAGGGCGUAUGCGGUAUUAGCCUGGGUUUCCCCAGGUUAUCCCCCACUACCGGGCAGAUUCCUAUGCAUUACUCACCCGUCCGCCGCUCGCCACCAGGGAGCAAGCUCCCCGUGCUGCCGCUCGACUUGCAUGUGUUAGGCCUGCCGCCAGCGUUCAAUCUGAACCAGAUCAAAUUCUGA